rnacentral:lncRNA from 1 species
ACAGGGCUAAGCGCCGUAAACUUCGUAGUAAGAUUAAGGUACUUCGGAAACGGGAUCCUCCCAUGACCGAAGAAUUGCUCAAGCAGAUUCAGGAGGACUAUCGGACUUCUGAUGAGCUCGGUGCAGAGAUUAUGAAAGUAUACUACGAAGGAUACGAAGACUGCCGAGGUCAAUGCAAGGAAAAGCUGGUGGCAGCCCAAGUAGAUCCUGCUUUGCUCGAUUUUGAAAAUGAUGUAUAAAUAGGAUCUUACUGCUUCUGAUCUUUAGAAUUUUGUGCAAAAAUUUUGUAAAGAAAUUUAAGUGGAC